UACGAAGGGGGCUAGCGUUGUUCGGAAUUACUGGGCGUAAAGCGCGCGCAGGCGGCUAUCCAAGUCAGUGGUGAAAGCCCGGAGCUCAACUCCGGAACUGCCAUUGAAACUGUUUAGCUUGAGGACGAGAGAGGUGAGUGGAAUUCCCAGUGUAGAGGUGAAAUUCGUAGAUAUUAGGAAGAACACCCGUGGCUAAGGCGGCUCUCUAGUACGGUACUGACGCUGAGACGCGAAAGCGUGGGGAGCGAACAGG
rnacentral:rRNA from 1 species